rnacentral:sRNA from 1 species
UAAACUCGAUUAACUUAAUCGAGUUCAGCAAUCUAUACUUUGCAAACGGCCAUAUAUGCUUAUAAUUUUUUUUCUAUCCAUAGAAAACUCUUGAGAGAAUCCUACUUUUCUUAUCUUUCUUUUUCUUUUGUACUAUAUUUGAACCUUUUCUGUUUUCAUGAUUUUAACUGGCUGUGGAUCCUCAAUUCUUCUUAUAGCCCAAUGGGAAUGAUGCAGACCUUGAUGCUGAUAUACAGGGAAAAUGGUGUGUUGAAGGGUCUCUAUCGAGGAAUGAGCAUCAACUACAUUCGCGCCAUUCCAAUGGUAGCUGUGUCGUUUUCCACCUAUGAACUCAUGAAACAAACUCUCAAUCUUGAUACUGGAAUGAAGCUUUAGCGGUAAAAGUUCUAACAAUAUGCAGCCUUUUGUGAUCAUCUUAUAUUUCGACACAGAUCAUUCCAGUCGGGAGGAUAAUCAAAACUAAGUAUUAUUAACACAUAUGUACUUAAAGGAGCUUAGACCAUUAUUGUAAUCUUGUAAGACAAGUUUAAUGUAUAUUAGCUCAAUGCUUGUCUUCAUAAUUGUGUAUCGAUUGUUCUGUGAUAGCAGACUGGAGAUUGGGAGAAGUCGUUGUUGCAACAAACAAAUAAUUUACUGUAGAAUAAUUUAUCAAUUAAAUACUCUAAAUGACUGUCCUGUACAAUUUACAUAAUAAUAAUAAUAAUAACAGGUUUAAUAGUUCAUUAUGGUAUCAUUGUGUUUAAUCAUUCAAUUAGUGUCGUCUGCAUAAUAUUUGCAUCAUUAAGUAUUCGAGCUCUUGGAUCUUCAGUACCUUACAGUUGGUGAAAAUAAUUUCCUCUAAAAGAUACAUCCUUUUUCGACUGCUUAUAUAAAUGUCUAGUACAUUUGCCGUAGUCAUUUGUUUUGCUUGUAAACUCAGCAACAACUUAAGUUGAAAACUUUGUUGUUUCUUCAGUUACAAAAAUUGAAAAUAUAUAUUUCUAGUAAGAAUAAAAAGCCUUCAAAAGGCGACUGUACUUGGAAUUAUUCGUAAAUUUAGUACGUUAGGCCAUUGUUAGAGAGUACAUAAGAAUAUUUCCUAAAGCCUGUCUUAUUAUGCUGAAGCAAAUAUAAAUAUAUUAUAUUUCCCUUAUUCUACGUAAAUAUAUUGCAAGAGUAAUAAUUUUUCAAACAAAACUAUUGUUCAAAGCAUGUUUUAUUGUGUUGGAACUGUUUAAAUUAUAUUAUCCCCAAAAAUUUUACGUUGAUGUAUUGUUAUGAUAUAAUAUUUAUAUUUUUAUAAUAUGAUUAAAACUAUUGCUUGAAGCCCUUUCAUUAUGUAGAUUGUAGAAUGUUUUGUGUUUUAUUUUGUAACUUAGCUAAAGUUAUUCGUCUAUGUGUGAUGAACAACUCAUCAUUUCACCGUGUUUUUAAACUUCGUUUUGUCUAGAACGUAGGAAUUAUUUUAAAAAUUAUGAGUCUAAAAAUCGCUUCCUGAUGGCUCGGAAUCCACCUCAAGCUGUAGACCAACUCAACUUCAUCAUCUGUCUCAUUACCCACGCACAAGCCUAGAACUCAAGUGGGCAUCACCCUCAGCAAAAAAACAUUAGAUUGACAGCUGUGAUCCCGUGCUUUUAGCUAAAUCCUUACCUUGAAGUUCUAAUUCGAUUUCAUUCUGAAUGAUGAUCCAUUACAGUCACCUUUCCUUAGUAGUAGACCCACAUCUAGUUGAAAAAUUGUUGUGAACUACGGAAUAGAUGCUAAAAUGUAAAAUGAACUGCAGUAUUCAGUUUGGUUGUGUGAGAUACAAUAGUAUAAAUGAUUCGUCUAGUAAAGUUACUUAAAUUUUAUUUUGAGAUUAACUCAAUAACGCUCAUUAGAUGUGUUUGCAAGUAUUCUAUUGUGGUUUCAUGUUUGUACCGUCGUUCGGCUGUGGAAUCUGUCAUUCAGUACAAGUUUCAUGUUCGUUUUCUGUGGAUUCAGCGAGUGUUGUGUUGAAAGCAUGCUUGGACAAAGGCCCAGCUUGAUACAUGAAUCACCCGUCCAUACAACUUUAUUCUCCCUAAUUAGUGUUUGCUACUGUACAAUGUAUUCAUUCUGUAUUUAUAUUUAUUUAUUCACAUAUUGAAUACAGUAGUUUGAGAGAAGUCGGUAGAAGAAUCUUUUGCUUAAAACUGUUGCUUUUUCAAGAUUUUAGUAAUCAGUUAAAAGUAAUACUGGUGAUUGAUUCAACCGAAUAAUAUUAUUUAAGGAGUAAUAUAAAUUAAUCAUAUUUUCAUACGUUAAACUUGAUGAAUGAAAAUCGUCAGCUCUGUACCUGAACACUAGAGUGGCGAGCUCUCAGUACUACAGUUGGACAGGUGACCGUUUUUAGGUCAUCACCAAUAAAUUUCAAUUACUGUGUGUGUUUUUGAAAUCACUUCCCUGUGGCUCGGAACAUACCUUCAGGUUCUUACAAGGUUCUAAUUGUAGGCUCUUAUAUCUUUAAUCGUGAUUAUUAUAAUUUCUCUUUCAUUACCCACGAAUCAGCUUAUCGUAAAUAGUUGAGAAAAAUAUAUUAUUGUAGUAAUUGAAUAGAAUAUUAGUACAUCCUUUCUUAUAAAUUGAUUACUGCAUGUUGACUAAGUAAAGUAUAAAACUAUAAGCGAGACUUGAUGAUUAUUGUGCACCACUUCAUAAAUAAAAUUAUUAUUACUCUAGAAGAUCACUGAACUAACCAGUACCAUUAUUUGCAUAACUUGGUCAAUUAUUAUAGUGUACUCAUCAUGGAAAUAAAUUGAUUCUUUUCCAAACAGACUCAAAUCAAAUCAUUAUUCAACUCUUAUGUUUAUUAAUGUAUCAUAUCAGUGCCUUCCUGAAACUAUCUUAAUUUACCUUCUCAAGAUUGUAUUGUUGUUCAUGAUAUUCAUGAAUCUUGUAUACAAUGUAUAUUAACUAUAUAUUUAUAGUUGUGUAAGCAAUUAAAAUGUGUAUAAUUCGAGUUUGUUGUUGAGAAGCUAUUGCUAUUUUUCUAUUAAUACUUCUAUAGUGUAUCAAUAUUUUUCUGUCUGUAGUAGUCACUUGAACUGAUGGACAUAUUCAUAAAGAAUUGUUAAUAAUAAUCUGAGCCAAAUAAAAUUUGGCUGCGAGGCAACGAAUGCAUGCUUGGCUAACGUUCUUAACAAUCGUUUAUAAUAAAGGCGCUAAAUUUAUCCGAUUUCCUUUAUCUGCCGUUUUAAUUUUAGAAAUGAAUAUUCUUGUGCUUUUCUUUAUUGUUUUAUUCUCAUAUUGGAGAAACAAAAGAUUCAAUAUAAAAUCGUUAUUAUUUUUUUGUAAUGUAUAUUCUUCAUCGACGAAAUAUCUUAAUAUUUUAUUACGACCUGAUUAUUUUUCGCUGUCUUUUUUCCUGUUUAAAUCAAAAUAAGGUUCUUUUAAUUUGUAGAUAUCAUUCCCGUUUUGAUAUUAUUCAGAGUUUGUAUAAAGACACCUUUAUAUUUUGUCUCUGUUAUUCAAUGAUUUAUUAAGCUCAAAGCAUUCGAUUACUUAGAAAAGUAUGUAUUAAAUUUUAAUAAUAGUUUACUCUUAACAGCACGAAACAAUGGUCGCCUACAAACGUGCGUUUUUCACCCAAGUUCUUUAUUAGUCAAUUUCAAUUAAAUUGUACGUAAUGUAAAACUGUUUUUUUUACAUUUUAAUAAAAGUUUAAAAAUA